CACGUAGGGUGCAAGCGUUGUCCGGAAUCAUUGGGCGUAAAGAGCUCGUAGGCGGCUUAGUAAGUCGGGUGUGAAAACCCCAGGCUCAACCUGGGGACGCCACCCGAUACUGCUAUAGCUAGAGUCCAGUAGGGGAGUGUGGAAUUCCCAGUGUAGCGGUGAAAUGCGCAGAUAUCAGGAGGAACACCAAUUGCGAAGGCAGCUCGCUGGGACGUAACUGACGCUGAGACGCGAAAGCGCGGGGAGCAAACAGG
rnacentral:rRNA from 1 species